GAGAAAAUGGAAGUCGGGUAGCGGCGACUGCGGCGCUGCGGGCUGGCGGAGCGGAGCGGCGCGGCGCGGCAGAGUUCUCAGGCGCUGUGGUCUCACCUUCCACUGGGGCAACAAUGGGCCAUUUCCAGCAGGGACGGCGCAGUGUUGGCCUGCAUGCCUGACUGCCACACACCUCCAGAAUCAGGUGUCUGAAAAGUGGCAGUGACGAAAGAAGAGACUCUCCCGGCCGAGGCCCCAGUGCAUGGAGAGAAGGAAGAAAUCAAUUUCCUAAUUGGUACCAUAUACAUCAGAUGGAUGGUUUCUAGUGUGCUUCCAAACCCCACCUCGGCUGAGUGUUGGGCAGCACUUCUACAUGAUCCUAUGACUCUUGAUAUGGACGCAGUCCUGUCAGACUUUGUUCGGUCCACGGGGGCAGAACCUGGUCUGGCCAGAGACCUGCUGGAAGGCAAAAACUGGGACCUGACAGCCGCUCUGAGCGACUAUGAGCAGCUCCGCCAGGUGCACACAGCCAAUCUGCCACAUGUGUUCAACGAAGGGCGGGGUCCCAAGCAGCCAGAGCGAGAGCCACAGCCCGGGCACAAGGUGGAGCGACCCUGCCUGCAGAGGCAGGACGACAUUGCCCAAGAAAAGCGACUUUCCCGGGGGAUUUCCCACGCCAGCUCAGCCAUCGUCUCCCUGGCCCGGUCCCACGUGGCAAGCGAAUGCAACAACGAGCAGUUCCCCCUGGAGAUGCCAAUCUACACAUUCCAGUUGCCAGACCUGAGCGUGUACAGCGAGGAUUUCAGGAGCUUCAUCGAGCGGGACCUGAUCGAGCAGGCAACAAUGGUGGCUUUGGAGCAGGCAGGUGAGUUGCCCCUGCCAGCAGGCCCACCCCCUUUAGGCUUGGUGAAUGGUGAGCUGGCCUAACCUACUCUAUGAGCAAGAGAAGGGCACAUGUUCUCAGACUCUGGGCAGUUUUCAGUUAGGAUUCUAGAUGCUGCACCGCACCUCCUGCUCUACGGGCCGACAGUGUUCUAGCCAGCAUGGGCUGGAUGGAGGGGCCGAUAACUAGGUGGUGCUGAAAUCUCUCGAGUUUUUCCCCUUGCCCCUAAAUCCCAGUCCUCCUUUAAGGAGAACUCUAUGCUUCUUUGCCUUGCUUCUCUCUUUCCCCAGACAACUCCUCCGUGGGUGUUGAACGAAAGAUAGGAAAGACCAUGGGCUUUAGAGAAAACGGGAGACCCGCCACUUCCUGUGGACUUGGGCAAGUCAGGUGAUCUCUCUCAGCCUCAGUUUCUCCAUCUGCAAAGAUGAGGAGACUGCUGACCCGGCAACGCUUUGGGGUACUAAGUGACAUGUGCUUUCCAUAGCUGUCCAUUCCCUGCCUGCACAGCCUCUUCCAGCUUCCAGGUUAAGGAAGCACAAAACCUGACCUCAGUCUCCUUCCUUCUCCUUAGUGUUUCCUCACCACCCUAACAUCCCAAUGAAGAAAGCGUUCAAGAAGCAAGACAAACUCUCUUCUUUGGAAUGUUUAAGGAGAAAAUAAUGAGUCCAAAACAAAUGUCUAAAACAGAUUUAGGUUCUUCCUGAGACAAAGCAAUGCCAGUUUCACUCAUAAUCAUUCACAUUAUAAACAUUGCAAAAUCACAUAUCUG
rnacentral:sRNA from 1 species